AUGGAUCUUGGGCGCCUGAACUAUGGGGUUGUCACUCUUAUCCCCAAUGUUCCGGGCGCGACGGACAUCCGCCAAUUCCGACCUAUCACUGUGAUCAAUGUGAUAUUCUGGAUCCUGGCCAAAGGGUACUCCAAUAGGGUGACCCUGCUAGCCAACUCGAUCACUCACCCCAAUCAGUCGGCUUUCAUUUAGGGUCAUUUUAUCCUGGAUGGGGUGUUGGUCUUCCACGAGGUCCUUCAUGAAGUCCGCUCCAAGCACCAACAGGCAGUCUUCCUGAAGCUCGACUUCCAUAAAGCCUAUGACACUAGUCACUGGCCCUUCCUUCAGGAAGUAUUACUCCGCAAGGGCUUUGAUGACCGUUGGGUGACCAGAGUUUUGCAGCUUGUCUCCCGCGGUCGGACCGCUAUUAACAUUAAUGGUAAGAUUGGCCCCUUCUUCCCCACACUAUGUGGGGUUCGCCAAGGCGGCCCUUUCUCACCGUUCCCGUUCAACAUGGUGGUUGACGCUCUUGCGGCCAUUCUUGACAAGGCCAAAUCGGCCGGUCACAUUCACGGCAUGGUACCACACCUAGUAAGAGGGGGUGGGGUCUUCCUCCUCCAAUAUGCCGACGACACCAUAAUAAUGGUUGAGGGCUCCGCGUCCGAUAUUGCCAACCUGAAGUUUCUCCUCCUAUGCUUCCAAUAG
rnacentral:rRNA from 1 species